rnacentral:rRNA from 1 species
ACGAACGCUGGCGGCGUGCUUAACACAUGCAAGUCGAGCGGUAAGGCCCUUUCGGGGUACGACGAGCGGCGAACGGGUGAGUAACACGUGGGUGACCUGCCCUUACGCUCUGGGAUAAGCCUGGGAAACCGGGUCUAAUACCGGAUAUGACUCCAUGACGCAUGUUGUGGGGUGGAAAGCCUUGUGCGGCUGAGGAUGGGCCCGCGGCCUAUCAGCUUGUUGGUGGGGUGAUGGCCACCAAGGCGACGACGGGUAGCCGGCCUGAGAGGGCGACCGGCCACACUGGGACUGAGACACGGCCCAGACUCCUACGGGAGGGCAGCAGUGGGGGAAUCUUGCGCAAUGGGCGAAAGCCUGACGCAGCGACGCCGCGUGAGGGAUGACGGCCUG